UAGGGCGGGGAAAGGCAUUG
rnacentral:miRNA from 1 species